rnacentral:tRNA from 1 species
UAUAUUUUAGUGUAUGAUGCACUUAAAUUUUUGAAAUUUGAAGAUUAGUUUAAUUCUAUAAAAUAUAA